CCAGGAACUGACAUGAAUUCAAGUGGUUCCACACAUAAACUCCCUAACUUUCAGCCUAAAUACUGGAACAAUUGGAGUGCAAUGGCAGAAUCUUGGCUCACUGCAAUCUCUG